rnacentral:rRNA from 1 species
GAACAUUGAGCCUUGAUGUGUAGGAUAGGUGGGAGGCUUUGAAGUGUGGACGCCAGUCUGCAUGGAGCCGACCUUGAAAUACCACCCUUUAAUGUUUGAUGUUCUAACGUGGACCCGUAAUCCGGGUUGCGGACAGUGUCUGGUGGGUAGUUUGACUGGGGCGGUCUCCUCCUAAAGAGUAACGGAGGAGCACGAAGGUUGGCUAAUCCUGGUCGGACAUCAGGAGGUUAGUGCAAUGGCAUAAGCCAGCUUGACUGCGAGCGUGACGGCGCGAGCAGGUGCGAAAGCAGGUCAUAGUGAUCCGGUGGUUCUGAAUGGAAGGGCCAUCGCUCAACGGAUAAAAGGUACUCCGGGGAUAACAGGCUGAUACCGCCCAAGAGUUCAUAUCGACGGCGGUGUUUGGCACCUCGAUGUCGGCUCAUCACAUCCUGGGGCUGAAGUAGGUCCCAAGGGUAUGGCUGUUCGCCAUUUAAAGUGGUACGCGAGCUGGGUUUAGAACGUCGUGAGACAGUUCGGUCCCUAUCUGCCGUGGGCGCUGGAGAACUGAGGGGGGCUGCUCCUAGUACGAGAGGACCGGAGUGGACGCAUCACUGGUGUUCGGGUUGUCAUGCCAAUGGCACUGCCCGGUAGCUAAAUGCGGAAGAGAUAAGUGCUGAAAGCAUCUAAGCACGAAACUUGCCCCGAGAUGAGUUCUCCCUGAGACUUAGAGUCUCCUGAAGGAACGUUGAAGACGACGACGUUGAUAGGCCGGGUGUGUAAGCGCAGCGAUGCGUUGAGCUAACCGGUACUAAUGAACCGUGAGGCUUAACCUUAC